AACGCUAGCUACAGGCUUAACACAUGCAAGUCGAGGGGAAACGAUAGAGAAAGCUUGCUUUUUCUAGGCGUCGACCGGCGCACGGGUGAGUAACGCGUACCCAACCUGGCCCAUACCACGGGAUAGCCCGUCGAAAGGCGGAUUAAUACCGUAUGCUGUCAUUAAGAGGCAUUUUUUGAUGACGAAAGGACUGGCGGUAUGGGAUGGGGAUGCGUCUGAUUAGCUUGUUGGCGGGGUAACGGCCCACCAAGGCGACGAUCAGUAGGGGUUCUGAGAGGAAGGUCCCCCACAUUGGAACUGAGACACGGUCCAAACUCCUACGGGAGGCAGCAGUGAGGAAUAUUGGUCAAUGGGCGCAAGCCUGAACCAGCCAAGUAGCGUGAGGGAAGACUGCCCUACGGGUUGUAAACCUCUUUUGUUUGGGAAUAAAGUGCGGGACGCGUCCCGCAUUGCAUGUACCAUUUGAAUAAGGACCGGCUAAUUCCGUGCCAGCAGCCGCGGUAAUACGGAAGGUCCGGGCGUUAUCCGGAUUUAUUGGGUUUAAAGGGAGCGUAGGCCGGAGAUUAAGCGUGUUGUGAAAUGUAGACGCUCAACGUCUGCACUGCAGCGCGAACUGGUUUCCUUGAGUACGCAUAAAGUGGGCGGAAUUCGUGGUGUAGCGGUGAAAUGCUUAGAUAUCACGAAGAACUCCGAUUG
rnacentral:rRNA from 1 species